rnacentral:rRNA from 1 species
GAUGAACGCUAGCGGCAGGCUUAAUACAUGCAAGUCGUGGGGCAGCAGGUUUGUAGCAAUACAGAUGCUGGCGACCGGCAAACGGGUGCGGAACACGUACAGAACCUUCCUUUGGAGCGGGGAAUAGCCCAGAGAAAUUUGGAUUAAUACCCCCAUAGUAUAAUGAAGUGGCAUCACUUUAUAUUAAAGAUUUAUCACUCGAAGAUGGCUGUGCGGCUGAUUAGGUAGUUGGCGGGGUAAAGGCCCACCAAGCCUGCGAUCAGUAACUGGUGUGAGAGCACGACCAGUCACACGGGCACUGAGACACGGGCCCGACUCCUACGGGAGGCAGCAGUAAGGAAUAUUGGUCAAUGGAGGCAACUCUGAACCAGCCAUGCCGCGUGGAGGAUGAAGGUCCUCUGGAUUGUAAACUUCUUUUAUAUGGGACGAAAAAAGGCUUUUCUAAGUCGUCUGACGGUACCAUAUGAAUAAGCACCGGCUAACUCCGUGCCAG